UAACAGAGAAUAGCUUGCUAUUUUGCUGACGAGCGGCGGACGGGUGAGUAAUGCUUGGGAAUAUGCCUUAUGGUGGGGGACAACAGUUGGAAACGACUGCUAAUACCGCAUAACGUCUACGGACCAAAGGGGGGGAUCUUCGGACCUCUCGCCAUUAGAUUAGCCCAAGUGAGAUUAGCUAGUUGGUAGGGUAAAGGCCUACCAAGGCGACGAUCUCUAGCUGGUUUGAGAGGAUGAUCAGCCACACUGGGACUGAGACACGGCCCAGACUCC
rnacentral:rRNA from 1 species